rnacentral:misc_RNA from 1 species
CCAAAUUGGAGUUGGAGCGUGUGGUUAGCCGGGGGCGUUUCUCCAACGUCCUUUCUCCUGCCCGAAACGGCAAGAGUUCGGCCUCCGCAUCGCACCCCAUCUUCCAGAACCCCUACCCUUGAACAUCUAUCUUUUGUUGCCUCGGCGGAUCCGUCCGCCAGAGGACCGAAUCAAACUCCUGUUGUAAACGUGUAGUCUGAGCUGUAAAGCAAUAGUUA